rnacentral:rRNA from 1 species
CCUACGGGUGGCAGCAGUGGGGAAUAUUGGACAAUGGGCGAAAGCCUGAUCCAGCCAUGCCGCGUGUGUGAAGAAGGCCUUCGGGUUGUAAAGCACUUUCAGUGGGGAAGAAAGCCUUGGGGCUAAUACCCUCGAGGAAGGACAUCACCCACAGAAGAAGCACCGGCUAACUCCGUGCCAGCAGCCGCGGUAAUACGGAGGGUGCGAGCGUUAAUCGGAAUUACUGGGCGUAAAGCGCGCGUAGGCGGUCUGAUAAGCCGGUUGUUAAAGCCCCGGGCUCAACCUGGGAACGGCAUCCGGAACUGUCAGGCUAGAGUGCAGGAGAGGAAGGUAGAAUUCCCGGUGUAGCGGUGAAAUGCGUAGAGAUCGGGAGGAAUACCAGUAGCGAAGGCGGCCUUCUGGACUGACACUGACGCUGAGGUGCGAAAGCGUGGGUAGCAAACAGGAUUAGAUACCCUGGUAGUC